GACGAACGCUGGCGGCGUGCUUAACACAUGCAAGUCACGGGGCCCGCAAGGGCAACCGGCGAACGGGUGCGUAACACGUGAGCAAGCUUCCGAUUUCUGGGGGAUAGCCGGCCCAACGGCCGGGUAAUACCGCAUACGUUCACUAGGCGGCAUCGUCUGGUGAGGAAACCUCCGGGGGAAAUCGAGGCGCUCGCGGCCUAUCAGCUAGUUGGCGGGGUAACGGCCCACCAAGGCGACGACGGGUAGCUGGUCUGAGAGGAUGGCCAGCCACAUUGGGACUGCGACACGGCCCAGACUCCUACGGGAGGCAGCAGUGGGGAAUAUUGCGCAAUGGACGAAAGUCUGACGCAGCGACGCCGCGUGUGGGAUGAAGCUCUUCAGGGUGUAAAACCACUGUUGCCCCGGGGACGAAAACUCCUUUAUUUCCGUAAAGGGACUGACGGUACCGGGGUUGAGGAAGCACCGGCUAACUCUGUGCCAGCAGCCGCGGUAAUACAGAGGGUGCGAGCGUUGUCCGGAAUCACUGGGCGUAAAGGGCGCGUAGGUGGCUUGGUAAGCGUGUGGUGAAAGUCCGGGGCUCAACCCCGGAUCUGCCGUGCGAACUGCUGAGCUUGAGCACUGUAGAGGCAGGUGGAAUUCCGGGUGUAGCGGUGGAAUGCGUAGAGAUCCGGAAGAACUCCAGUGGCGAAGGCGGCCUGCUGGG
rnacentral:rRNA from 1 species